UGCUGGAAGGCUGCCCCAGGACCCAGCACGUGCGCAGCGGCAAUGGCUUCCUCAAUUAUCUGCCAGGAGCACGGCCAGAUCUCGGGCCAGGCAAAAAUAGACGUCUUAUUAGUUGGAGAUGUCACUGUGGGCUACCUGGCUGAUACUGUACAGAAACUGUUCGCAAACAUAGCAGAAGUCACCAUCACCAUCAGUGACAUGAAGGAGGCAGUAGCGCUUUUGGAUGAUUGCACAUUCAACAUGGUUUUCUUGAAGAUGCCUUCUUCACUAAGUGCUGAGGAGCUGGAAGCCAUCAACUUAAUUAGAUUUGGCAAAAAGAAAAAUACACAUUCACUGUUUGUUUUUAUAAUCCCUGAAAAUUUUACAGGUUGUAUUUCAGGGCAUGGAACUGAUAUUGCUUUAACUGAACCACUGACAAUGGAAAAAAUGAGUAAUGUGGUAAAAUACUGGAAAACAUGUCUCUCAAACACAGUUAAGAUUGAAAAUGCCGCUGGGCCUGAAGAACCUGGAUUGCCCCUGCAGAGGCCUUACAGUGAACACCUGGGAUAUUUUCCUACUGAUCUAUUUGCCUGCCCUGAAUCUUUAAGGAAUGGCAGUGGGCUUGAAUUAAAUGCUUCGUUGUCAGAGUUCGAGAAAAACAAAAAGAUUUCUCUUCUUCAUUCAAGCAAGGAAAAACUAAGAAGAGAAAGAAUCAAAUAUUGCUGCGAGCAGCUGCGUACGCUCUUGCCGUACGUAAAGGGGAGAAAGAAUGACGCGGCUUCAGUUCUUGAGGCAACAGUUGAUUAUGUGAAAUAUAUCCGGGAGAAAAUCUCUCCAGCCAUUAUGGCCCAGAUUACAGAAGCACUUCAGAGCAACAGGAGGUUUUGUAAGAAACAGCAAACAAACAUCCAGCUGUCUGUCCCAGGCACCGUCAUGGCACAGCGGGAAAAUAGUGUGACGAGCACUUACUCCCCUGAGAGAGGGCUCCGGUUCCUGACUAAUACGUGCUGGAAUGGGUGCUCCGCCCCUGACGCAGAGGGCUCCUUGGAUGAAGCUGUGAGAGUUCCGUCAGGCUCCACCUCAGAGAAUGCUAUUGGUGAUCCAUAUAAAACUCACAUUCCCAGUGCAGCGCUCUCUCUGAAUUCCUUGCAUACUGUCAGAUAUUGUUCUAAAGUCACCCCUUCCUACGAUGCAACUGCCGUAACAAAUCAGAACAUUUCAAUUCAUUUACCUUCAGCCGUGUCCCCGGUCUCAAAGCUUCUCCCUCAGCACUGUACUUCUGGGUUGAGCCAGACGUGCACUACACAUCCCAACUGUCUGCAACAGUUUUGGGCAUAUUAAAAGCACAUGUUUGAAAUUCACACUCUCAACCACCUACUGGGCGCAGUUUGACAAUCUAGGAAAAGUGGAACAAAGAAUGAUUUUGAAAGCUCCACCCAAAGACCUAAUAUCAAAAGAGUUGGCAUGGUUUGGCUUCUGAUAAAUGCACUCAAAGCUUCUGCAGAUAGAAAGACCAGCAGCGAAAAAGCUGGCCGCACACUGUCACUCAUCUUCAUACACACUUGGAUCCCCGCCAGCCAGAGAGCUACGAGAACAAAUGGCCUCAGUGACCUACACUCUUUCUUCUCAAAAAAUAUUCCA